rnacentral:rRNA from 1 species
UACGUAGGGUGCAAGCGUUGUCCGGAAUUAUUGGGCGUAAAGAGCUCGUAGGCGGUUUGUUGCGUCGGCUGUGAAAUCCCGAGGCUCAACCUCGGGUCUGCAGUCGAUACGAGCAAACUAGAGUGUUGCAGGGGAGACUGGAAUUCCUGGUGUAGCGGUGGAAUGCGCAGAUAUCAGGAGGAACACCGGUGGCGAAGGCGGGUCUCUGGGCAAUAACUGACGCUGAGGAGCGAAAGCGUGGGGAGCGAACAGG